rnacentral:rRNA from 1 species
GGCGGAAGCCUUGUUAGCAUCAGUCCGCACCCACUGCGGGCGACAUUUGCCUGUAGCUGGGAACUCGCUCCCUCCUGUCGGGGCGAACGAUCAGCUGCUGCGUGCCCGAUCAUGCAGUCCACAGAUCAAACGCAAGUGGCCUACUCUUCGCUGUAGGUUGAGAUAUGACCGUAGCAAACUCUGCUUGGAGUUUGAAAGACUAGUUCCGUAGGUGAACCUGCGGAAGGAUCAUUA